GGGGAAUUUUGGACAAUGGGCGAAAGCCUGAUCCAGCCAUGCCGCGUGAGUGAAGAAGGCCUUCGGGUUGUAAAGCUCUUUUAGUCGGAAAGAAAGAGUUGCAAUGAAUAAUUGUGAUUUAUGACGGUACCGACAGAAAAAGCACCGGCUAACUACGUGCCAGCAGCCGCGGUAAUACGUAGGGUGCGAGCGUUAAUCGGAAUUACUGGGCGUAAAGGGUGCGCAGGCGGUCUUGCAAGUCAGAUGUGAAAGCCCCGGGCUUAACCUGGGAAUUGCGUUGGAAACUACAAGGCUAGAGUUCAGCAGAGGGGAGUGGAAUUCCAUGUGUAGCAGUGAAAUGCGUAGAGAUGUGGAAGAACACCAAUGGCGAAGGCAGCUCCCUGGGUUGACACUGACGCUCAUGCACGAAAGCGUGGGGAGCAAACA
rnacentral:rRNA from 1 species